UACGAAGGGGGCUAGCGUUGCUCGGAAUCACUGGGCGUAAAGCGCACGUAGGCGGAUUGUUAAGUCAGGGGGGAAAUCCUGGAGCUCAACUCCAGAACUGCCUUUGAUACUGGCGAUCUUGAGUCCGGGAGAGGUGAGUGGAACUGCGAGUGUAGAGGUGAAAUUCGUAGAUAUUCGCAAGAACACCAGUGGCGAAGGCGGCUCACUGGCCCGAUACUGACGCUGAGGUGCGAAAGUGUGGGGAGCAAACAGG
rnacentral:rRNA from 1 species